UCAAGAACAGGAUGAAAUACUCUUGUCUCCAGCAGAAGUUUUCACUGUGGAACAAGUGGAAACAAAAACUACAUCGGAUGGUGACGAAUACCUUGAGAUUGUUUUGAAACAGUCAGGACUGCAAAGCUCACACAACUGUUACAUCUUUUCACGCACUUCAAGAGGGCAUGAGACUACCACAGCUGUCAUAGAGCGAUCCAGUGUUCCAGGAGUUGUCACAGACCGAAACAGGUCUCCUCCAGCUGUUGUCUCCACCCUGUGGCUUGUAUCAGUGCUUGCGGCCUUAUCUUUGUUUUCUUUAGCUGUUUAGCAAAAACAGUUUUCAUUCAGAGUUUCAGAGUUUUAUCAUCUACAAUAUUGCUGUGAUUCUUCAUACAAUUGUUUUACAUGUUAUCUGACACACUGUGUUGAAUUAGUUGUCUUAGCAGCAAUUUUCUGUUUCUGUCAUAUGUUAUGAAUUAUAGACUUCAUGACUUCAGAAUAUUUGAUAAAGAUUUUAAAGGGAUGCAGAAAAUUGGUGUAAAACACAGUGGGUUCAAAUUUCAGGCUCAUGUGCAGCUGCUGUCAAGACCAACUAGAAAUAAUCUGCAAUCAUGAGAUGCUUUUAUUUGUUCUUAUGGUCACAUAGAUCGAUAGAUAUAUAUUGAUAGGUUUUAUAGACUUUAUUAAGCCUGCACAGUUCAUUUGUUCUAGCGGCACAGGGGUCAGCAAGAAAAAAGGUGAAUUUGAUAUAGAUUAGAAAAGAAAUAAGAAAAAAUGUAUACAGAUUAAAAAAACAACAAAAUACUAUAGAAAAGUGUAUGUUACUGUAGUAAAAUACACUGCAAGACAUGUCACAGAGAUUAUGUUAUAUGUAUAUAAAGUGCAGUGGGACCGAUAACAUAUACACGUAUGUAUUUUAGUAGGUAUCUGUGAUGUGUGCGCAUUGUACUGUCUGACUGAUUUGAAGGACUUACGACAGCGCUCUGUCCUAAACAGUCGCUGAUGCUCUUCCUGCCAAACUGCUUCUGUUUCCCUGUCAAAUAAACAACAUGCAAAAUAUAAAA